GUACCCCACCCCUAGCCCUACAGAGAAAGGAGGACCCUGCCCUACCUCACAGCCUCCCGCCAGACCAGCGCCAGUCCUGCACCGGAGCCUGAACACAGCUGGGGCCAGUGGCCUGGGAAGACUGCACAGGAAAAGCAGCAGCCCCUGGCCACGCUGGGGUCCAGGGCAGCAGAGGAAGGGGCCAGGGUUUGCAGAGCAGAGGUGGAUCCUGGCCCGAAUCAGCCGAUAAAUAUGUCCUGUAUGUCUCACUUUAAAUCCCAGUGUAGCGGGACCCUGGGUGCAAAUGUGCUGAGCUCUGCACUGUGUAGAAUAUGUGAGAAACAGAUCUGAGCCCAGCGCUAACCCUCCGUGUAUGGGGGCACUCCAUUCGAAGAGGAGGUCUCGUCUUGCAUAAGUGGAUAUGCCUGUAACCUCUGUGAGAUGAACACAGAGAUGAACGAUUCUGCUCAGAUUAAGAAGAUCCAUGGCCCCAAAGCUUCACUUUUCCUGAGAGGGGUGGCUGAGGGACACCAUGGAUGGCUCGAAGACUGGGGCAGGUUGGGAACCAGCAGCCUGAGAAGCAAGACCCAGCUGCCAGUAAACAACUCGUCUGAAGAACUGGACCCAGGACUGUGGGUGAAGGGGGGCUCAGCGCUGGCCCUGGCGACUCAGAUUCCAGAAACUUCUGUUUUUCUAACCAACUCCAGCUCAGGCAGGGCCUUGGAGAUACCUGGUUGGCAUCUGUCACUGAAAGUGGGGACUCUCCGCAGAUGAAAGGACUCACAGCUUCGCCCCGUUACAAAGCCCUUCAAGGUCCCCAGCUCUAAGACUGGGCUGUAGCCAGGGGAGUGGGGAGACGUGGUGCGGAGAAAGAAAGCAACAAAGAGAUGGAAAAGGGUGUCAGUGUAGUACUGGGGCCCCUGGGGAGCAGAGGGAAAAGGGGGAUUCGGAGAGGGGCAGCAGAGUGACUUGGAUGGACAGAAAUCAGGCUGCAGAAAGGUCUGGGGCUCGGCGGCGGCGGCACAGACCUGAGGAGCUGCCCCAGGUGACAAGAGGCACUGGGACCGGGACCCAGGGCACAUGUGCGCUUCUUCCUCCUCCUCCCCUACAGACUGGGCCCUCUCCCCUGCCACCCGUGUCCCCCCCCCCCCCCGUGCCUCACCGUGUACAGACACCACAUACCCGAGCUCCACAGACAGCACCUCACCUGAGGGGGUGGGGACCGCGACUCCGCCGUUGCCAGUUACCAGGUGCAUUGCUCGAGCCAGUCCAUCCAGGGCACCCUGGCCCCCUCCUGCCUUGUCCCAGAGGCGACAGUCCGAGCGGCCACGUGUCCGGCAGGGAAACCCCGAGCUGCCAGACCUUUGCCCUGCUGGCCGGCCUGGCCUGUUUGUUGCCAAGUGCCUGAGGAGGGGGACAGGAGAUAAGACUGGAGGACUCGGGGACAAGCUGGCUGAUCUCCUGCAGGGGACACCGAAGGGCCGCAAUGCGUGGUGGCAGGGGAAGUGACAACGUCAGGCUGGGCAUAGAGUGGUGUCCAAAUCGGCCUCUGAGCGGGUGCCCAAACCUGCUCCUGCCUGGCUUCUUAAAGGGACACAAAAUCCAGGGCUGGGGAUUUAGCUCAGCGGUUCUGCCGCCUGCCUUGCAAGCGCAAGGACCUGAGUUCAAUCCCCGGUACCAAAAAAACCCAAAAAACAAACCCCAAAUCCAAAUGAAACCAAC
rnacentral:lncRNA from 1 species